CUCUGUGUUCUCAUAUGUCAAUAAGAGCUAAUGUUUCUAUCAGUCACUGCUGUGAGAUCAGAUAAGAAAAUCUAUGUAGAAGAGUUUUAAAAAUAGAACUUUACAACAAUGCUACAAGGCAGGUGUUACUAUCCCCAUUUUAAGGAUGAGGACACUGAGGCAGCAAGAGCAAAAUAACCUCUUAAGGUCACUGACUAGUCCCAUGUGGAGAUAACUUUGGACUUGGAGUCAGAAGAAUGGACUAUUCACCCUGUUCCACCCUUUACUGUUUUGAAUCUCAGGCAAGUCAACCUCAGUAUGGCUUGCUCUACUCAUCUGUAUAAAGAGCUUAAUGUCACCUGCCUUGCCAGUUAGUGGGAGGAUGAGACAAGAUAAUAGAUGGGAAGGCACUUUGCUAAUGGUAGCAUAUCACACAAACAUAAGGUAUUAUUAUCUUAUAACAAUAAGAUCUUGAAAUGUGUGUGGUAAGACUCAGGCUGACAUUCUCUUGAG